UACGUAGGGUGCGAGCGUUAAUCGGAAUUAUUGGGCGUAAAGGGUGCGUAGGCGGCGGAGUAAGUUGGGUGUGAAAUCCCGGGGCUUAACCUCGGAAUGGCAUUCAAUACUGCUUCGCUCGAGUACUGGAGAGGAGGCUGGAAUUUACGGUGUAGCAGUGAAAUGCGUAGAUAUCGUAAGGAAGGCCGGUGGCGAAAGCGAGCCUCUGGACAGUUACUGACGCCGAUGCACGAAGGCCAGGGGAGCAAACGGG
rnacentral:rRNA from 1 species